UACAGAGGUCUCAAGCGUUGUUCGGAUUCAUUGGGCGUAAAGGGUGCGUAGGCGGCGCGGUAAGUCGGGGUGUGAAAUCUUGGAGCUUAACUCCGAAACUGCAUUCGAUACUGCCGUGCUUGAGGACUGGAGAGGAGACUGGAAUUUACGGUGUAGCGGUGAAAUGCGUAGAUAUCGUAAGGAACACCAGUGGCGAAGGCGACUCACUGGCCCGAUACUGACGCUGAGGCGCGAAAGCGUGGGGGAGCAAACAGG
rnacentral:rRNA from 1 species